ACACGGUGCAUGCGUCCUCCACUCAUCCUUCUCUGUCCAUCUCUUUUCUCUUCUCCCCAUUAAAUUUCUCAACAUCGCACAACGAGCUCGUCCAUGUCUCUGCUGACGGCGCAGCCAUUUGCUGCUGCUCCGGCUGGGAGACACCGCGAGCCUGGGGCCAGGCGUGGGAGCUCUGUAGCUGGUUACCCCCUUUCCUGCCCACGCUACAAGGGGGAAGCGCCUUAUUGCAAGGAAGACGAAUAGGGCCCGUGGCUGGGGAGCAGCCGGCCGGAGAUGUUUCAACUGGCGGGGUCAGCGAAGAGUGAGAAUUUCAUGGCGGAGCUACAACAGCGACGGCGGUGACGGAAUUUUGCUACAUCCAUUGCCAGAUUUUGCUACGACCGGCAAGAAUUUUUGAUACGAUGAUUUCAUGGUGAAGCUGCAAUCGCGAUGGCGGUGACAAAGUUUUGCUGCAUCCAUCGUCGGAUUUUGCUUCCACCGGCGAGGAAUUUUGCUACAAUCGGCGUUUGUGGCUGGCGGUGGCUACAACCAUGACUGGGAAGAUACAACCACGAUCACCGGCAUCACAUUUUUGCUACAACCACGUCGCCUUUUGCUACAACCGGAGUCGCUCUUUGCUACAACCGUCCGUCGGCGAUGUGGAACUGGCAGUGCGAGGAGCUUCGAGCGGCAGAUGGGGAUGGUACAACCGGUCGCCGGAGAUGCUGGAACCGGCAGUGCGGGGAGCUGCGAGCGGCAGCGAGGAUGCUACAACUGUCUAGGCGUGAAGCAACAACCCCUAGCGUUCUUUUGCUGGAAGCGGCCGCCGGCGAUGCUUUUUAGAGAAAAGGCCAUAGCCCGAAUUUAUAGAUAAAGCCACCAGGCAGAGUUAACAAGGACCCAGACAACCAGCACACAAAUGCCAAAGUAUCAAGCCAGAACACGAAGAAGGAAGUCUAAGUACAUGGCUCCCAGGCCAGUACACGGCACGCAGGCCGGAAGAGGAUAAGAAAACGUAGCAACGCAACGACGUCUACGGGCCCGCUUGGUUUGGAAGGAUGGAGAUAGGAGACUUUCGGAUCUUGGCCAACAUGGCGUCAAAUGCAUCCCUGUCCCCUCCUUAGUCAAUAAACUCCACUGCUGCAGGAAUAUACAAGUCUUAAAUAAUCAAUCAGCAGGCUUAGCA